ensembl:misc_RNA Metazoa_SRP Metazoan signal recognition particle RNA
GCUGGGCAUGGUGGCACAUGCCUGUAAUCCCAGCUACUCAGGAGGCUGAGGCAGGAGAAUCACUUGAACCCAGGAGGCGGAGGCUGCAGUGAGCUGAGAUCGUGCCACUGCACUCCAGCCUGGGCAACAGAGUGAGACUUUGUCUCAA